GAUAUAGAAACGUAAAGAAGCCACCAACUACAACCAAUAUUUGUAGAUAUAAACUACCUCUUUCCCCUUGUAUUGCUUAUUUGUGAAGCCUUAAUCGAAUCUCAAGAUGAGAAAAAGUUUGUUCGUGUUAAUGUUCAUGCUUAUUCUUUUUGUUUCCGAAGAGAGGAUGGUGAAAGUGACAGCAAAGACGUGUGAAUCGAAGGGGACUGAGUUCACUUGUCUCAAUGAUGACACGUGUAAAAAGUCUUGUCAAAAGGAUGGUUUUAUUUCGGGAACAUGUGAAGGUUUUCAACGUAAAUGUAAUUGCUUCAAGCAGUGUUAAACUUAAAAAUAUGCAUGGCGUACUUUUUUCUAUGUAUCUUAUGUUUAUGAAAUUUAGUCUCACAUCUGUGCGCGACUGAAUGUAUAUUUAAUAAUGAUAAAUGAAGUAUCUUAUGUAUAAAA